CCCGCGCCGCCUCGCGCCGUGUGUGUACAAACACAAAAGACGUGCCGGGGCCGCCGGCUCCAGUAGCAUAGGAAAAGGACUUCACGGUUCAAGUUAUCCACAUCUUCAGUUCGUCGGCCUUAGAAUAUCUGCACCGUCCCUAGAUGGUCUUGACAGCGCUCCGCAGCUGUGUGAGGGUUUUCAACAGGAGUGUCAUGCAGACGUCCCACAGGAUAGCGAAGGAGAAUAAGUUUCAUAGAUGGAAGGCACUACUAUUUGUCAUCUGAAGAUCUUAUAAAGCAUCUUAGUCAUAAACAUCCUGAAACGGAUAUAGAGAAAUCAGAUACGAGGGAGGGAAUAGAUGUGUCCAAGGUCACUUAAGUGAGGAACAGACCCAGGAGAAACAAAAAAUCCAGGCCUCCUGUUUCAUUAUUACUUAAUGAAUGUUAAGUGUCUGUGGUUGCUGUGCAGAACACACGCAAUCUGCAGACCCGUCCUAAAAGCACAUAUGCAAAAAAGCCUGGGCGCAGCUGCCAGCGAAGUUUCUAUAAUUCGGGCCAAGAAGAGUUUUGUUUGCUUGUUUUUUGUUUUGUUUUGUUUUAUUUUCAGGAGACCAAAAUAUUUGUUGUUGGAUUUAUCCAAGAAACCUGUUCCACAUCAAUUAAAUUCAUCAUAUCUUCAAGAAAUGUUAAAUGACAUGGGUAAUGUUCUCUUUCUAUGCUAGAUUUUUCCGUAGCUUCUAUUUUUUGGCUUGGAAAAAAAAAAUGUUUCUAAGGAAAGGAAAGACUAUUUUAGGUGAAAUAGUUCUGAUCUUGGAUUAUCUGAACCAACGCAGCUGUCCAUCUGUAAAUGAAGUCACAUUUAUCUGGGCGAAGAGCGGCCAGAGGCUCUUUCUAGUGGAGAAGUCCAGUCCAGUUCAGCACCUGGGUGGGUGUCUGGUUACCUACCUAGUGGCUUCAGGAAGUUCGGUCACUGAGUGAAUAUUGAUUGAGUGCCAGCUAUGUGCUAGGCACAGUUCUGGGUGCUGGGAAUACAGCAGUGAACAACACAGGCAGCGGUCCUGCCCUCAUGGAGCUUAUGAUCUCCGGAAGCUUUGUCUUGCACCGGGAAGUAACACCCGGAGGAGAGAGAAAGAGGUCCUUGGAGCCCUAGGAGUGGCAAGAACUGUAGCUGAGGGGAGAUGUGAUCUUUAGAGCCCAGAGGAUGGGGGAUGGGCGCCUCCAGGGCAGGAAGGGACUUGAAAGGGGCCUCAGGGUUCAUCCUGAAUUGCCUCUACUUCUAGAACUCUUGGGCUAAUGAUGGCUUCAAAAUUAGGAGUUUAAAAAAAUGGAGAGGAG
rnacentral:lncRNA from 1 species